rnacentral:rRNA from 1 species
UACGUAGGGGGCAAGCGUUGUCCGGAUUUAUUGGGCGUAAAGAGCGUGUAGGCGGCCAGGUAGGUCUGCUGUGAAAACUCGAGGCUCAACCUCGAGAUGUCGGCGGAAACCAUCUGGCUAGAGUCCGGAAGAGGCGAGUGGAACUCCUGGUGUAGCGGUGGAAUGCGCAGAUAUCAGGAAGAACACCAACGGCGAAGGCAGCUCGCUGGGACGGUACUGACGCUGAGACGCGAAAGCGUGGGGAGCGAACAGG